GCCAGUGUGGUGUAGUGGUUUGAGCAUUGGACUAUGACUCUGGAGACCAGGGUUCAAAUCCCUACUUGGCCA
rnacentral:tRNA from 1 species